CAAAAGAGCAUUCUUAACUCCAGCAGAAAUAGCGUAAAUAAUUAUCUAAACAUAAGACCCAUAAAUAAAUAGCAUGCAAUAGUAUCAGACAGUAACUACCAUAAAUAACUACCAUAAGGAAGACACAAUCCAAUACACUAAUCAUCUAUGGAUAGCCCUACCAAGCCUCACCCAACCCCGGGUGAGGAGUACGAAAAACUCUAGGAGUGCCUAUCCUACAACCCUAAUACUAGACCUCCACACUUUCUUAUCAAGGGUCAUGUCCUCGGAAACCCACAUUCUAGCCAUGUCAUGCCUAAUCACCUCUCCCCAAUACCUCUUAGGCC
rnacentral:lncRNA from 1 species